UACAUAAACCAAAUCCAAGCCACUCCCACUUGUAUUUCCCCCUGAGCCAUGCUCUCUCACCUAGAUGACGGAUACAGCCUAGUACGAAUAUUUCCAAUUAUGAAAUGUAUUAACACCACCAGCUUUCUUUCCUGUGUGUACUUUCAGAGUUAAGGUGAGUUUAAGAAGUGUGUGUGGCCGAGUGUGGUGGCUCACGCCUAUAAUCCCAGCACUUUGGGAUGCCGAGGCGGACAGAUUACGAGGUCAGGAGAUCGAGACCAUCCUGGCUAACACGGUGAAACAUCUCUACUAAAAAUUUAAAAAAAUUAAAAAUUAACUGGGCGAGUGCUCCCCACUGUGCCCAGCUAAUUUUUUGUAGAGAUGGGGUUUCACCAUUUUGUCUAGGCUGGUCUCAAUCUCCUGAGCUCACCCAUCCGGCUUCCCAAAGUGCUGAGAUUACAGGCAUGAGCCACCAGACCUGGCCAAGUAUUUAUUUUUUAAAUCCAAUUUGAUAAUCUUUGUCUUGAAUGAGAGCGGUGGCUCCCAAAUUUGCUGCACUUUAGAAGACUCUGGAAAGCUUUUAAAAGUCCCAAUGCCCUGUUCACACUUCACAUCAAUAAAUCUGAUGGGAAUGGGAACCGUGCAUUGGUGGUGUUUUUUAAGAUCUGCAGGUAAUUUUCUGAUGUACAGCAAAACUUAAGAGCUAGAUCAUUUAGUACAUUUGUACAAAUUACUGAUAUUUUUACAUUUAAAGAUGUCUUUUUAUACUUUCCAUUUGACUCACAUGUUUUAUGUUCUUUACGCCUUUCUUGAUUUCUUUUGGAUUACUGAUGUUUAAAAAUUAUCAGUAAUUUUUAAAUUUAAAAAUUUUUAAAUUUGAGACCAGGCGAGGUGGAUCACACCUGUAAUCCCAGUACUUUGGGAGGCCGAGGUGGGUGGGUCGCUUGAGCUCAGGACUUCACGACCAGUCUGGGCAACAUGGCAAAACCCCAUCUCUACCAAAAAUACAAAAAAUUGGCCAGGCUUGGUGACGUGUGUCUGUGGUGCCAGCCACUCAAGAGACUGAGGUGGGAAGAUCACUUGAGCCUGGGAGGUUGCAGUGAGCUGAGAUUGCAUCACUGAACUCCAGCCCUGGGUAACAGAGUGGGACUGUCUCAAAAAACAUUAUAUGUAUUUACAUAUAUAUAUUAUAUAUACUAUAUUACAUAUAUUUACAUAUAAAGCUAUGUGUAUUUACAUAUAUAUAGCUGAUUUAUAUAUAUAAAUAGCCUUUAGUGGUACACUUGAGAUUAUAACAUGCGUUCUUGACUUACCGAUGUCUAAUGUAAAUUAGUAUUUUUUCCUCUUCCCAGACAAUGCUAAAAGUUUAUUGGAUAUUUUAGUUAUUUCUAUAUUUAAAACUCCACAAGACACAUUGCAGUUGAUGUUCAUUUUGAUGGCCCACGUAUAUGCCACUAUCAUUGCGUUUUAUCCUUCUGUGACUUUAUAGGGUCAUUUCCCUUCCACCUGAAGUACCCCCACUAUUAUUUCCUUUAGAGGAGGUCUGUUCAUCAUCUCAGUUGUGUUUGUCUGAAAAUACUUGUAUUUAAUUUUUAUUCUUACAAAAUAUUUUUUCUGAGUAUGGAAUUCUAGGUUGUCAGCUAGUUUCUUUCAACACAUUAAUGAUGUAACUCCACUGUCAUAUGCAUCCAUAUUUUCUGCUGUUUUUUGAAAUAAAUAUUGACUGCGUUUAAGUU
rnacentral:lncRNA from 1 species